rnacentral:ncRNA from 2 species
CAGCGAUACUCUGGAAAGUGCCCCGUGCCUUUAAGGUCGUGGCCGCCGACGGUGUAACCCGGCCUGUCCCAUAAGGGAUGACGCCGGGGAAGCUCUCAGGUUUCCGUGACAGAGGGGGCACC